GCACAAGCGGUGGAGCAUGUGGUUUAAUUCGACGCAACGCGCAGAACCUUACCAGCCCUUGACAUCCCGGUCGCGGUUUCCAGAGAUGGAUUCCUUCAGUUCGGCUGGACCGGAGACAGGUGCUGCAUGGCUGUCGUCAGCUCGUGUCGUGAGAUGUUGGGUUAAGUCCCGCAACGAGCGCAACCCCCGUCCUUAGUUGCUACCAUUUAGUUGAGCACUCUAAGGAGACUGCCGGUGAUAAGCCGCGAGGAAGGUGGGGAUGACGUCAAGUCCUCAUGGCCCUUACGGGCUGGGCUACACACGUGCUACAAUGGCGGUGACAAUGGGACGCUAAGGGGCAACCCUUCGCAAAUCUCAAAAAGCCGUCUCAGUUCGGAUUGGGCUCUGCAACUCGAGCCCAUGAAGUUGGAAUCGCUAGUAAUCGUGGAUCAGCAUGCCACGGUGAAUACGUUCCCGGGC
rnacentral:rRNA from 1 species